AAAUUACCAUCUAGUGGAAGACAGAACAUUUCCAAGCUGACUGAACACCACAUUUUCUACUCAUCUGAACUUUGAAAGCAGAAUCUCUAAAUUGCAUCCCCAUAUUCUGAGGUCAAGAAAGAACUCUAAUGGGAAAUAAUCUCUACCAAUUAGCUUUACUCUGACAUCAAUCAGGAUUACCAGAUCUAAUGGACUCUUGUCUAUCAGUGUGACCUUUGACGCAGAGUGAUUAUGUUGGCCACCCUUCCACUUGGAACUUUGCAUCCCCUCCUCACACUGCUUCCUACCAUUGGAAGUCCUUUCUGGCUUUUUGUGGAGUACUUUUUGCUGUAUGUAACUUUUAAGUAAUGUUUUGUUGGACUUUCUUCUGAGUCCUCUGAUUAAUAAUAUGUUUUCCCUGGUUGAAUCCCAGGAGGUGAGUCUGCCAUGUUUCAAAUAUCAACAGAUUGAUAUAUGCUGAACAUUCUCACAACCAGACUUAAUUCUAGCCUCACUGCCCAUAUGCCCACCAGUGGGUCUACUUCCUUGGAUAGUUCACAAACACCUUUAAAUGACCAUACUUUAACAGUAAGAUUCUCCCCUAUUAACUACCUGUGUUUUAGUCCUUAUUCAUGGGGUCUCUCAGACACAAGUGACUCAAGAUGAAUAUUAAUGCUAUUUUUCGGAGGGAAAAAACAAGACUACUUGUGAAACAUCCUUAGUUUUGUGUUUGUGUUACUGCUGCUGAUUGGUUGAGGGCCAGCUAUAAACUUGGAUUAUCAUUUGUGGCCCUCCUAAGCCCAAGUGAUUGCAGUGACUCCUCUGUGCCUCCACUAUCUUCCUCAUCGUUUCCCUGCCUAUGUGGCCUUAUGAAAUUCAAGUCUGGUCAUUUAUUUCCCCUACUUGAAAUGUUUCAAUACUGGAUGAAAUUCAAACUCAGCAUACUAGCUAGGCCCCUCUAAAUCUAGCACGUAUUUCUAUCUCUGCAGUCUGUAAAAAAAAAAAAAUUGUUCCAUCUCUUAGUACCUCUCAAAAAUCAUAACAUCUAGGAAGCCCUUUAAGUCAUCAUGUUACUACUUUCCCUUCAGAGUUCAGCUUGAGUUUUUAAAUGUUCUGACAGUCUCAUGAUUUCAAUUCCUUGUCACUGAUUUCUUUUUGGAUUUUUGAGGUAGGCUGUCCCUCCAUCAGUCAGCUAGCCUCACACUGGCCUUGAGCAUGAAUCCUGAGACCUGGGAGCACAGGGAUGUUAGCCCAUCUGGAGGGGAGGGAACAAAUUCAUUGUAUGAUUCUCAUUUCUGAAAGAAUGGAUAAGGCAGUGACUGAACUGAGUGAGCACUACAGGAGCACGUGAUAAAGUCCUAAUAUAUAGGUACAGUUGAGAAAAGGGUUCAUCGUCCACACUACAUUAAGUUUAAAUGUCAUUGAGUCAUUUACAGAAUUAUAUAUUUGGAUCUUGAGAUAUGUACACCCAAAAUCUCGCCCAAAGUAAUAUUUUCAGUUUCAUUAUGUUCUAAAUAGGAAUUUUCAUUUUGUUACCAAUUAUAAAAAAAAAGUAGUCUUACAUGGUACACAGAAAGUAUUAAAAAUAAGGGGUGGUUCUUCAUAAUUCUGUAUAUAGAAACAAACUGAAAAGGCUUAUAAAGAUAUUAUUUUAAUAUCCCAAAAGAUUUAAAAAAUGGCAUUUGGAAACUCCUUGACAAUGAGAAAAAUAACCAAGUUUAAAAUGCUUUGUAGAAAUUUAAGGUGAGAGCAUAGAUUCGGUUUUUGGAGGGUUUUUUUGUUUUGUUUUUAAUGGUAUUUUUGGCCUCUUUCCCUCCCCCCCCCCAGCCCCCCGCCCACCCCGGUUUGUUUUGAGACAGGGUCACAUGUAGUCCAGGCUUUCUCUGUACUUGCUAUGUAGCCUAGGUAAGUCUUGAAUACCUGAUCCUCCUACCUCUACCUCCCAAGUGCUGGGAAGACAGGUGUGUGCCACCUCUGGGGCCCAUAACAGCCUAGAUUUAAAACAAUGCUAAGACUCCCCUACCACCUUUCUCUUUGGCAUCUUAUAAAUGUCUUGUAGAUUGAAUCUAGAAUCACUGGUAUUUGUAAAUAAAUCAACUUUGUG
rnacentral:lncRNA from 1 species